rnacentral:rRNA from 1 species
AGUGAACGCUGGCGGUAGGCCUAACACAUGCAAGUCGAACGGCAGCACAGUAAGAGCUUGCUCUUACGGGUGGCGAGUGGCGGACGGGUGAGGAAUACAUCGGAAUCUACUUUUUCGUGGGGGAUAACGUAGGGAAACUUACGCUACUACCGCAUACGUCCUACGGGUGAAAGCAGGGGAUCUUCGGACUUUGCGCGAUUGAAUGAGCCGAUGUCGGAUUAGCUAGUUGGCGGGGUAAAGGCCCACCAAGGCGACGAUCCGUAGCUGGUCUGAGAGGAUGAUCAGCCACACUGGAACUGAGACACGGUCCAGACUCCUACGGGAGGCAGCAGUGGGGAAUAUUCGGCAAUGGGCGAAAGCCUGACCCAGCAAUACCGCGUGAGUGAUGAAGGCCUUCGGGUCGUAAAGCCCUGUUAUUAGGAAAGAAAAGCUGCAGGUUAAAACCUGGAUGUUCUGACGGUACCCAAAGAGUAAGCACCGGCUAACUUCGUG